UUUUAGCCCCGAUAGUAGUGGAAAUCCUUUUCUUUUUUUCUUUAAAAAAGAAAAGAUUGGAACGUAUAGCGGGAUUAGCU
rnacentral:sRNA from 1 species